rnacentral:lncRNA from 1 species
AGGCAAUGUUGUCACACAGAUGUUUGUAAGUCGUUUGGGGAUGGUCCUGCUGUGCCUCCAUGUGUUUUAUGGUGUAGCUUCAGGAAUCACAUGCUCCCUUGCCAGGAAAUGUGACUGGAGGCUUUUGUGCCUAGGUGUGAGGUCCGGAACCAUGGCAGCCGUCUUGGGCCCAUGAAGGGAGAUACCCAAGGAAAACAUGCCAAGGAUGGCUACGCUGAAAAUGGACCAAACCUGAGUCCUUUACAAAGCCACUGACCUCAUGAAUUAGCGGGGACCUUCCCUACCUCGGAACUUCUAGUGAGGUAAGUUAAUAAACCCCCUGGUAGCUUGCUCCAGCUGGGGCUGGGCCUUCUGUUGCUCGCAGCUGAAGCCGUCCUCUCUGGCUUGCUUGUCUUACCAUGUUAGGUAGUCAUCCACCUGAUGGCUAAGACAAAUUUCUUUCUCAGGCCAACGGCUGCCAUGAGCAUAGCAACAGACUCAGCACUGUGGCUGGUACCAAGCCUUGGAAGACCAGGCGCCACCGUGGAAGUGAGGCUGGAGAGCCAAGGCGUGGGGACGUGGGAAGCUGACGGCAGCCUAGGAGACACAAGGAGGGAGUUGGUGGGGGGGCUCUGAGUCCUCCGGGAUCCCAGAGCUCACAGCAGGUCCAAGCAGGGCACAAGGGAGGGUGCCCUGAAGGCGGGUUUCCAUGUAGCCACGCAGGGGACCCUUCUGCAUUGCAUUAGCCUGCUACCACUUUUUCAACAAAUCAAAGAAGAUUCCUUAAACCUCACAGGCCAUCUGUAACGGACACCCUCUCCUUCUGGGAGUUAUGCCACCUGUCCCUCCAGCCGUGAAGUCCCCACACAGAGCCAGCUGAGUUCUACACGGAUGGCAGCCCGCCGGAGCCCACGGUGGCGGGGAGCCGCGGCCCAGCUGGCUGCUGUUUCCUCAACGGCGCUGAAGCUCUGUGGACUGAGGGCAGCCUGCCCACCUCGCUCUGUGCCCGGCCGAGCCCCUGACACCCAGCUCAGACGUCUCCUCUUCCGAACGGCCUUCCCCGAUCUCACCACAUCCCAGGAUGGAUCAGGAGCCCAUCCAGGCUCCUCCUGCCCACCGCAGCACCCAUCCUGACCAGCCAUGAGGGGAGAGCUGCUCUUCCUGCCCCCUCCCCCCGACACACCCGUGGGGGUGCCAGU